rnacentral:rRNA from 1 species
GUUGACCUCGAAUCAGGUAGGAAUACCCGCUGAACUUAAGCAUAUCAAUAAGCGGAGGAAAAGAAACCAACCGGGAUUACCUCAGUAACGGCGAGUGAAGCGGUAACAGCUCAAAUUUGAAAUCUGGCUCCGUUGGAGUCCGAGUUGUAAUUUGUAGAAGAUGCUUUGGGUUGUGGGUUCGGCCUAAGUUCCUUGGAACAGGACGUCAUAGAGGGUGAGAAUCCCGUAUGUGGCCGAGGCCUGCGCCUAUGUAAAGCUCUUUCGACGAGUCGAGUUGUUUGGGAAUGCAGCUCAAAAUGGGUGGUAAAUUUCAUCUAAAGCUAAAUAUGGGCCAGAGACCGAUAGCGCACAAGUAGAGUGAUCGAAAGAUGAAAAGCACUUUGGAAAGAGAGUUAAACAGUACGUGAAAUUGUUGAAAGGGAAGCGCUUGCAACCAGACUUGGGCGCUGCCGAUCACCCCGAGUUUUCUCUGGUGCACUCGACAGCGCACAGGCCAGCAUCGGUUCGGGUGGCUGGAUAAAGGCCGUAGGAACGUAGCUCCUCUCGGGGAGUGUUAUAGCCUACGGUGCCAUGCAGCCCAGCCGGACCGAGGACCGCGCCUUCGGGCUAGGAUGCUGGCGUAAUGGUUGUAAGCGACCCGUCUUGAAACACGGACCAAGGAGUCUAACAUCUAUGCGAGUGUUUGGGCGUUAAACCCAUACGCGGAAUGAAAGUGAACGUAGGUG